rnacentral:rRNA from 1 species
UAGGGAAUCUUCGGCAAUGGGGGGAACCCUGACCGAGCAACGCCGCGUGAGUGAAGAAGGUUUUCGGAUCGUAAAGCUCUGUUGUUAAGGAAGAACGAGUGUGAGAAUGGAAAGUUCAUGCUGUGACGGUACUUAACCAGAAAGGGACGGCUAACUACGUGCCAGCAGCCGCGGUAAGACGUAGGUCCCGAGCGUUGUCCGGAUUUAUUGGGCGUAAAGCGAGCGCAGGGGGUUAGAAAAGUCUGAAGUGAAAGGCAGUGGCUCAACCAUUGUAGGCUUUGGAAACUGUUUGACUUGAGUGCAGAAGGGGAGAGUGGAAUUCCAUGUGUAGCGGUGAAAUGCGUAGAUAUAUGGAGGAACACCGGUGGCGAAAGCGGGUCUCUGGGCUGUAACUGACGCUGAGGCUCGAAAGCGUGGGGAGCGAACAGG